CGGGGGCAGCAGUCUACACAUGCAGUCGAGCGGAACGAGUAUCAUCUGACACCUUCGGGUGGAACUGAUAACGGGCGUCGAGCGGCGGACGGGUGAGUAACGCGUGGGAAUAUGCCCUUUAGUGGGGGAUAACUCGGGGAAACCCGAGCUAAUACCGCAUAAUCUCUUCGGAGCAAAGUGGGGGAUCUUCGGACCUCGCGCUAUCAGAUGAGCCUGCGUUGGAUUAGCUAGUUGGUGAGGUAAUGGCUCACCAAGGCGACGAUCCAUAGCUGGUCUGAGAGGACGAUCAGCCACACUGGGACUGAGACACGGCCCAGACUCCUACGGGAGGCAGCAGUGGUGAAUAUUGGACAAUGGGCGCAAGCCUGAUCCAGCAAUGCCGCGUGUGUGAAGAAGGCCUGAGGGUUGUAAAGCACUUUCAGUAGGGAAGAAAGGUCUAACGUUAAUAGCGUAUUGUCUUGACGUUAGCUGCAGAAGAAGCACCGGCUAACUCCGUGCCAGCAGCCGCGGUAAUACGGAGGGUGCGAGCGUUAAUCGGAAUUACUGGGCGUAAAGCGCAUGCAGGUGGUUUGUUAAGUCAGAUGUGAAAGCCCGAGGCUCAACCUCGGAAGGUCAUUUGAAACUGGCAAACUAGAGUACUGUAGAGGGGGGUAGAAUAUUAGGUGUAGCGGUGAAAUGCGUAGAGAUCUGAAGGAAUACCAGUGGCGAAGGCGGCCCCCUGGAUUGAUACUGACACUGAGGUGCGAAAGCGUGGGUAGCAAACAGGAUUAGAUACCCUGGUAGUCCAUGCCGUAAACGAUGUCAACUAGCCGUUGGAAGACUUGAUCUUUUAGUGGCGCAGCUAACGCAAUAAGUUGACCGCCUGGGGAGUACGGCCGCAAGGUUAAAACUCAAAUGAAUUGACGGGGGCCCGCACAAGCGGUGGAGCAUGUGGUUUAAUUCGAAGCAACGCGAAGAACCUUACCUACUCUUGACAUCCACAGAACUUUUCAGAGAUGAAUUGGUGCCUUCGGGAACUGUGAGACAGGUGCUGCAUGGCUGUCGUCAGCUCGUCUUGUGAAAUGUUGGGUUAAGUCCCGUAACGAGCGCAACCCUUGUCCUUAUUUGCCAGCACGUAAUGGUAGGAACUCUAAGGAGACUGCCGGUGACAAACCGGAGGAAGGUGCGGACGACGUCAAGUCAUCAUGGCCCUUACGAGCGGGGCUACACACGUGCUACAAUGGCCAGGACAAACGGUUGCAACCCCGCGAGGGUGAGCGAAUCCCAGAAAACUUGUCGUAGUCCGGAUCGGAGUCUGCAACUCGACUCCGUGAAGUCGGAAUCGCUAGUAAUCGUGGAUCAGAAUGCCACGGUGAAUACGUUCCCGGGCCUUGUACACACCGCCCGUCACACCAUGGGAGUGGAUUGCACCAGAAGUAGCUAGCUUAACCUUCGGGAGGGCGGUUACCACGGUGUGGUUGCC
rnacentral:rRNA from 1 species